UAAAAAACUCAUCCAUUUUCUUUCUUUUUGUACUUAGAGUGAUACACCAGUUCAGGAAAUGUGGCCAAUAUCAAAUACCACAAUAUAACGUUAACUGUAGUAGUAAUGACGGCUAUGUUAUCACCAUAUGUUGACAGAAACCAUGGUGACCACAGAUUUAAUUUCAUAAAAGGUUAUUGCACCUAAAUUAGUCUAUUAUAAUCCAGUAUUAUACAUAUUGUGUGUUUGUCGUUAUUUUCUCACCCUCGUUUGGUUCCACAUCUGUCUGUAUGACUAUGUCGUUUCUGCUCUAACAUUCUCUAAAUAACGUUAGUUGUUCACCGACUGACCAUUGAUUUUCAGAAAAAAAAGUUUAUUUUUCCAUAAACUUUCCCGUUUUAAGCUCCACAAAUUGAGCUCAUGUUGGUUUGGAGCGGCGUGAUGGUGAGUAAAUCACACAAUGUUCAUGUGUAGGUAACGUUAAGCCUUCUUUCUAUCUGGGCCGCUUUGUUGCCAAUGGCUGCAGGUUAACAAACAUCCCCGGCGAGAAACAAAAGCCCCAACAUGAAAGUUUUGCACACGUUUCGCUGAAACCAUUGCGCAAAUAGGAGACCACAUUCUACUGAAUUCUGGACGAUCUUUCGGUUAUUUGUAUCAAACAAUACUAUAAACACAAUAUUGAUAAUGAAUUUGAAAGAAAACAAACCCCAUUUA
rnacentral:lncRNA from 1 species